rnacentral:rRNA from 1 species
CCAGACUCCUACGGGAGGCAGCAGUGAGGAAUAUUGGUCAAUGGCCGAGAGGCUGAACCAGCCAAGUCGCGUGAGGGAUGACGGCCCUACGGGUUGUAAACCUCUUUUGCCGGGGAGCAAAGAGCGGGACGCGUCCCGCCUCGAGAGUACCCGGAGAAAAAGCAUCGGCUAACUCCGUGCCAGCAGCCGCGGUAAUACGGAGGAUGCGAGCGUUAUCCGGAUUUAUUGGGUUUAAAGGGUGCGCAGGCGGAGGUGCAAGUCAGCGGUCAAAUUGCGGGGCUCAACCCCGUACUGCCGUUGAAACUGCAUCCCUUGAGUGCGCGAGAAGUAUGCGGAAUGCGUGGUGUAGCGGUGAAAUGCAUAGAUAUCACGCAGAACUCCGAUUGCGAAGGCAGCAUACCGGCGCGCAACUGACGCUCAUGCACGAAAGCGUGGGUAUCGAACAGGAUUAGAUACCCUAGUA